UUAAGCAUAUCAAUAAGCGGAGGAAAAGAAACCAACAGGGAUUGUCUUAGUAACGGCGAGUGAAGCGACAAAAGCUCAAAUUUGAAAUCUGGCACCUUCGGUGUCCGAGUUGUAAUUUGAAGAAGGUAACUUUGGAGUUGGCUCUUGUCUAUGUUCCUUGGAACAGGACGUCACAGAGGGUGAGAAUCCCGUGCGAUGAGAUGUCCAACUCUAUGUAAAGUGCUUUCGAAGAGUCGAGUUGUUUGGGAAUGCAGCUCUAAGUGGGUGGUAAAUUCCAUCUAAAGCUAAAUAUUGGCGAGAGACCGAUAGCGAACAAGUACAGUGAUGGAAAGAUGAAAAGAACUUUGAAAAGAGAGUGAAAAAGUACGUGAAAUUGUUGAAAGGGAAGGGUUUGAGAUCAGACUUGGUAUUUUGUAUGUCUUGCUUUCGGGUGGGGCCUCUGCAGUUUACUGGGCCAGCAUCGGUUUGGACGGUAGGAUAAUGACAUUGGAAUGUGGCACUACUUCGGUGG
rnacentral:rRNA from 1 species